AGAGUUUGAUCAUGGCUCAGAUUGAACGCUGGCGGCAGGCCUAACACAUGCAAGUCGAGCGGUAGCACAGAGAGCUUGCUCUCGGGUGACGAGCGGCGGACGGGUGAGUAAUGUCUGGGAAACUGCCUGAUGGAGGGGGAUAACUACUGGAAACGGUAGCUAAUACCGCAUAAACGUCGCAAGACCAAAGUGGGGGACCUUCGGGCCUCAUGCCAUCAGAUGUGCCCAGAUGGGAUUAGCUAGUAGGUGGGGUAACGGCUCACCUAGGCGACGAUCCCUAGCUGGUCUGAGAGGAUGACCAGCCACACUGGAACUGAGACACGGUCCAGACUCCUACGGGAGGCAGCAGUGGGGAAUAUUGCACAAUGGGCGCAAGCCUGAUGCAGCCAUGCCGCGUGUGUGAAGAAGGCCUUCGGGUUGUAAAGCACUUUCAGCGGGGAGGAAGGCGGUGAGGUUAAUAACCUCAUCGAUUGACGUUACCCGCAGAAGAAGCACCGGCUAACUCCGUGCCAGCAGCCGCGGUAAUACGGAGGGUGCAAGCGUUAAUCGGAAUUACUGGGCGUAAAGCGCACGCAGGCGGUCUGUCAAGUCGGAUGUGAAAUCCCCGGGCUCAACCUGGGAACUGCAUUCGAAACUGGCAGGCUAGAGUCUUGUAGAGGGGGGUAGAAUUCCAGGUGUAGCGGUGAAAUGCGUAGAGAUCUGGAGGAAUACCGGUGGCGAAGGCGGCCCCCUGGACAAAGACUGACGCUCAGGUGCGAAAGCGUGGGGAGCAAACAGGAUUAGAUACCCUGGUAGUCCACGCCGUAAACGAUGUCGAUUUGGAGGUUGUGCCCUUGAGGCGUGGCUUCCGGAGCUAACGCGUUAAAUCGACCGCCUGGGGAGUACGGCCGCAAGGUUAAAACUCAAAUGAAUUGACGGGGGCCCGCACAAGCGGUGGAGCAUGUGGUUUAAUUCGAUGCAACGCGAAGAACCUUACCUGGUCUUGACAUCCACAGAACUUUCCAGAGAUGGAUUGGUGCCUUCGGGAACUGUGAGACAGGUGCUGCAUGGCUGUCGUCAGCUCGUGUUGUGAAAUGUUGGGUUAAGUCCCGCAACGAGCGCAACCCUUAUCCUUUGUUGCCAGCGGUCCGGCCGGGAACUCAAAGGAGACUGCCAGUGAUAAACUGGAGGAAGGUGGGGAUGACGUCAAGUCAUCAUGGCCCUUACGACCAGGGCUACACACGUGCUACAAUGGCAUAUACAAAGAGAAGCGACCUCGCGAGAGCAAGCGGACCUCAUAAAGUAUGUCGUAGUCCGGAUUGGAGUCUGCAACUCGACUCCAUGAAGUCGGAAUCGCUAGUAAUCGUAGAUCAGAAUGCUACGGUGAAUACGUUCCCGGGCCUUGUACACACCGCCCGUCACACCAUGGGAGUGGGUUGCAAAAGAAGUAGGUAGCUUAACCUUCGGGAGGGCGCUUACCACUUUGUGAUUCAUGACUGGGGUGAAGUCGUAACAAGGUAACCGUAGGGGAACCUGCGGUUGGAUCACCU
rnacentral:rRNA from 1 species